rnacentral:rRNA from 1 species
GAUGAACGCUGGCGGCGUGCUUAACACAUGCAAGUCGAACGAUGAAGCCCAGCUUGCUGGGUGGAUUAGUGGCGAACGGGUGAGUAACACGUGAGUAACCUGCCCUUGACUCUGGGAUAAGCCCGGGAAACUGGGUCUAAUACCGGAUAGGAGCGCCUGUCGCAUGACGGGUGCUGGAAAGAUUUUUCGGUCAUGGAUGGACUCGCGGCCUAUCAGCUUGUUGGUGAGGUAAUGGCUCACCAAGGCGACGACGGGUAGCCGGCCUGAGAGGGUGACCGGCCACACUGGGACUGAGACACGGCCCAGACUCCUACGGGAGGCAGCAGUGGGGAAUAUUGCACAAUGGGCGGAAGCCUGAUGCAGCGACGCCGCGUGAGGGAUGACGGCCUUCGGGUUGUAAACCUCUUUCAGUAGGGAAGAAGCGAAAGUGACGUACCUGCAG